UACGUAGGGGGCUAGCGUUGUCCGGAAUCAUUGGGCGUAAAGCGCGUGUAGGCGGUUCGGUAAGUCCGCUGUGAAAGUCGGGGGCUCAACCCUCGAAUGCCGGUGGAUACUGUCGGGCUAGAGUGCGGAAGAGGCGAGUGGAAUUCCUGGUGUAGCGGUGAAAUGCGCAGAUAUCAGGAGGAACACCAAUAGCGAAGGCAGCUCGCUGGGACGUUACUGACGCUGAGACGCGAAAGCGUGGGGAGCAAACAGG
rnacentral:rRNA from 1 species